rnacentral:rRNA from 1 species
UACGGGGGGGGGCAAGCGUUGUUCGGAAUUACUGGGCGUAAAGGGCUCGUAGGCGGCCAACUAAGUCGGAUGUGAAAUCCCCAGGCUCAACCUGGGAACUGCAUCCGAUACUGGAUGGCUUGAAUCCGGGAGAGGGAUGCAGAAUUCCAGGUGUAGCGGUGAAAUGCGUAGAUAUCUGGAGGAAUACCGGUGGCGAAGGCGGCAUCCUGGACCGGCAUUGACGCUGAGGAGCGAAAGCCAGGGGAGCAAACGGG